rnacentral:lncRNA from 1 species
GCCCUGUGGGACCAUCUCCAAACCCUGUGUGGUCACCUCCACUGGCAGGUAUUUUCCAGGAGCUCCACGUGGAUUCUCAGCACAGCUUGGAUGUGGAGACCACACAUCCCCCUUGGAGUGGCCACCUGCUCUGCCCUCAGACCAAAUCCAAUCACCAAAGCAGAGGUGAGAGCAGACCCUCCAAGAUCCAACAAGAAAUUCCAGAUCCUGUGCUGUCACUGCUGAGGCACACUCCCCAUCUGCUCCUGCACCCUUCCUGUGUAAAACCCAGGGAAAAUUCAGGGAGUUCUGAUGGACAACUCCAGCUCUGCAAAUGAGACAAAGCAACACACAAAAGGCUCUCCUUGGACCACAUGUCUGUCCCACAGAAAUAUGGCAGUGCUGAAUUCCCAGAUGUAAGUGUGCUGCCUCCAUCCUGUCCCUGCUGACAUCCAGCACUGGUUAUCCAAGCUUUCAUCUCUUCGUCUUUAAAACACUGCCAUCUGUUGUUUCCAGACGGUUCAGUCUUCUGUUUAUCCAAAACCUUGUUCCAGGCCAUAUGGAAAAAAUAUCUAUUUUCAAUUAACCAUCACAUUUUCUUAAAAUAUACUACAGCAAUAAGAAAAAAAUAGGCCUUGCUUACGCAGAGCUGCUCAGGAAGGGGGUGACAUUUUAUUACGCUCU